UACGUAGGUGGCAAGCGUUACUCGGAAUCACUAGGUGUAAAGCGCAGGUAGGAGGUUGGAUAAGUCCGUUGUGAAAGCUCCCGGCUUAACUGGGAGAGGCCAACGGAAACUAUUCGGCUGGAGUGCGGUAGAGGUAGCUGGAAUUCCCGGUGUAGCGGUGAAAUGCGUAGAUAUCGGGAGGAAUACCUAUGGCGAAAGCAGGCUACUGGACCGUCACUGACUCUGAUCUGCGAAAGCUAGGGGAGCAAACAGG
rnacentral:rRNA from 1 species